GAUGAACCCUGGCGGCGUGCCUAAUACAUGCAAGUCGAGCGAACAGAUGAGGAGCUUGCUCCUCUGACGUUAGCGGCGGACGGGUGAGUAACACGUGGAUAAACUACCUAUAAGACUGGGAUAACUUCGGGAAACCGGAGCUAAUACCGGAUAAUAUAUUGAACCGCAUGGUUCAAUAGUUAAAGAAGGUUUUGCUGUCACCUAUAAAUUGAUCCGCGCCGCAUUAGCUAGUUGGUAAGGUAACGGCUUACCAAGGCAACGAUGCGUAGCCGACCUGAGAGGGUGAUCGGCCACACUGGAACUGAGACACGGUCCAGACUCCUACGGGAGGCAGCAGUAGGGAAUCUUCCGCAAUGGGCGAAAGCCUGACGGAGCAACGCCGCGUGAGUGAUGAAGGUCUUCGGAUCGUAAAACUCUGUUAUUAGGGAAGAACAAAUGUGUAAGUAACUAUGCACGUCUUGACGGUACCUAAUCAGAAAGCCACGGCUAACUACGUG
rnacentral:rRNA from 1 species